GGCGCUAUAGUGUAGUGGUUAUCACUUGGGAUUCUGAUUUCUGGUGAUUGUUCCCAAAACCCAGGUUCGAGCCCUGGUAGCGCCU
rnacentral:tRNA from 1 species